GGCUGGCGGGGGAAGAAAGGAAAACAGAACAAAACCAAGUUUUCAAGAGCUAUGGGACAAAGCAAACACUCUAACAUACAUAUAAUUUGAAUCCAGAAGGUGAAGAGAGAGAGAAUGGGGCAGAAGAAAUAUUUGAAGAGAUGAUGGUUACAUGAACGAGGAUGUGGCAAUGAGGCUGGAGAGAAGUGGAUAUGAGAAGCAUUUAGGGGGAAGAACCAUUGGAACUUGCUCAACAUUUUUAUCAAUGAUUUGUAUAAGUGCAUAGAAGCCAUCCUCAUGAAAAGUGAGAGAGAUAGGAACAUUGACAAACGCACAAUGCUCCCUGGAGGAGGGGAUCCAGGAUGAGGAGCCUCAGGAC
rnacentral:lncRNA from 1 species